rnacentral:rRNA from 1 species
GCAAGUCGAACGAGAAAGCUUCCUUCGGGAAGUGAUUAAAGUGGCGCACGGGUGAGGAACACGUGGGUAAUCUACCCUACCGGCGCGGGACAACAGUUCGAAAGGACUGCUAAUACCGCAUACGUCGGUGAGGUCUUCGGAUCUUACCGGGAAAGGAUGGCCUCUUCUUGAAAGCUAUCGCCGGAGGAGGAGCCCGCGUCCCAUCAGCUUGAUGGUGAGGUAAUGGCUCACCAUGGCUUAGACGGGUAGCUGGUCUGAGAGGAUGAUC